rnacentral:tRNA from 1 species
GCCUUGUUAGCGCAGUAGGUAGCGUGUCAGUCUCAUAUAAUCUGAAGGUCGUGAGUUCAAUCCUCACACAGGGCA